AUUGAACGCUGGCGGCAUGCCUUACACAUGCAGGUCGAACGGCAGCACGGGAGCAAUCCUGGUGGCGAGUGGCGAACGGGUGAGUAAAGUAUCGGAACGUGCCCAGUCGUGGGGGAUAACGUAGCGAAAGUUACGCUAAUACCGCAUACGAUCUAUGGAUGAAAGCGGGGGAUCGCAAGACCUCGCGCGAUUGGAGCGGCCGAUAUCAGAUUAGGUAGUUGGUGGGGUAAAGGCUCACCAAGCCGACGAUCUGUAGCUGGUCUGAGAGGACGACCAGCCACACUGGGACUGAGACACGGCCCAGACUCCUACGGGAGGCAGCAGUGGGGAAUUUUGGACAAUGGGCGAAAGCCUGAUCCAGCCAUGCUGCGUGCAGGAUGAAGGCCUUCGGGUUGUAAACUGCUUUUGUACGGAACGAAAAGGUUUGGCCUAAUAAGCUGAGCUCAUGACGGUACCGUAAGAAUAAGCACCGGCUAACUACGUGCCAGCAGCCGCGGUAA
rnacentral:rRNA from 1 species